UGGGGAAUAUUGGACAAUGGGGGAAACCCUGAUCCAGCGACGCCGCGUGAGUGAAGAAGUAUUUCGGUAUGUAAAGCUCUAUCAGCAGGGAAGAAAAUGACGGUACCUGACUAAGAAGCCCCGGCUAACUACGUGCCAGCAGCCGCGGUAAUACGUAGGGGGCAAGCGUUAUCCGGAUUUACUGGGUGUAAAGGGAGCGCAGACGGCGAAGCAAGUCUGAAGUGAAAUGCAUGGGCUCAACCCAUGAAUUGCUUUGGAAACUGUUUGGCUUGAGUGUCGGAGGGGUAAGCGGAAUUCCUAGUGUAGCGGUGAAAUGCGUAGAUAUUAGGAGGAACACCGGAGGCGAAGGCGGUUUACUGGACGACAACUGACGUUGAGGCUCGAAGGCGUGGGGAGCAAACAGGAUUAGAUACCCUGGUAGUCCACGCAGUAAACGAUGAAUACUUGGUGUCGGGGAGGUAAACUCUUCGGUGCCGCAAGCAAACGCAUUAAGUAUUCCACCUGGGGAGUACGUUCGCAAGAAUG
rnacentral:rRNA from 1 species